CUGAGGAUGUCACCUAGACAGGGGACGAAACGUUUGCAACAAAAACUUCCAGCUCGGCGAACAGAACCACAGCAAAUGUUCUUAUGGUGAGGGGAAGGAAGCAGCAGGGACCCAGAGAUCUCAGGAUGGAGCACAGAGUGAGUUUGUGCAGCCAAGAGUCCUGUGCACUGGAUUCCACCCAUCGCAGGAUGAACGAGCCCAAUGCAGCUGGGAGUGAGGUCCUGAGGCAGCAGCAGGAACAGGCAGCCAGAGUUAGCAAGAGCAAGUAGUCUCAGGGAGAUUCUUGGCAGGAUAGCAGAGAAAGAACAUGGAUUGGUAAAAGCAAGAACUGGAGGAAUCUCUGUUUUAUUUUCAAACUGAAGGCCAGCAUCUCUCAUAAAAUAAAUUGGAGAAACAUCUAUUCACGAGGACACAAGUAUUGUACAGAUUUCACUACUGCUGAGGAAACAAACCAUCAACUAUACAGCUGUGGUCUCUGUUUCAACUAUAACAAUUAAAAAUUCUUUAAAUUGCAGAUUCUUUAUCUUCCUAUUGUACUAGAAGUGUCCUUUUAGAUUUAUUUGCUUGUGUGUUGAAUGUUGUGUUUUAUUGUUUUUCUCAGGGUUAGUAAGUAUAAAGUUAUUUUUCUUUUCACUCAAGAAAAUCUUGCAAUUUGCUCCUUAAUUCCAACCUACUGGAUAUGUUUUAAUUGGAGUGUGGUAGAGCUGCAUGCUAAAGAUAAGUCAGACAUUUGUUGUGAAUGAGUGAGAGGGCUGAAAAGUGAAAAGGCGAUUCACCUCUCAUCACCUGGUCAUAACUUAUUCUCUGCACCUAAUUCCCCAUUUAAAUUGCUCCUUAGAAUACAUCUCAUUGACCAAGCUUAUGGUCAUUUAGAACAUAGAACAGUACAGCACAGGAACAGGCCCUCAGCCCACCAUGCCUGUGGCAACUAUGGUGCCAUUCUAAACUAAUUCCAUCUUUCUGUAUAAGAUUCUAUUCCCUGCCUCUUAAUGUGUCUUUCUAAAUGCCUCUUAAGUGUUGCUAUCGUAUCAGCUUCUAUCAUCUCCCCAGACAGCGCGUUCCAGGCAGCUACCACCCUCUGCAUAAAAAAAACUUGCCUUGCACAACUCCUUUAAAAACUUUCCCCUUCUCACCUUAAACAUACCCCUUAGUAUUUGGCAUUUGACAUUUUCCACCUUGGGAAAAUGGCUCUGACCAACUGCCCUAUCAAUGCCUCCCAUAAUUUUAUAUACUUCUAUCAGAUCAUUUGGGGUGAAUUUUAAGCCACUCCACCGGGGUUUAGGUUGUGAAACUGCCCUUCCUCCCACUCGAACCUAUCUACAUUUUGAUGGUGUCAGGAGUGAGGCCUUUUGGCUGGCCUACUGCUACUUGCUCCGUUUAAGGGACUUAAGCAUCCAAUUAGUUACUGCUGAAUGGCUGCCACAUGCCUGGUCUCAGCCUUCAGGCUGGGAAAACGUCUGGAAGGUCACCCUAUUCAAGACAUAGGUAAGGUUUCCUGCUUUGAUGAUCUGCUUUUUAUAUUGGGUACCCCCACAGGUCCUGCCUCCAGCCAGGUGCACCAUUCUCACCCCUGGUCUCUUCAGCAAGACUCCACCUGACUCUCCACACUCCCCUUAGGCCUUACUUCACCUCCAUGCCAUGACACAUAACCUGGUCGUGGCCUCAGAUUUAGAGCCAAGGGAGCACAGGCAGGUCUCAAUGCUGGCCACUGAUGCUGCUGGCACCACA